AAGGUGAAGGAAGAGGCUGUCCUCCUUUGUUUGGGCAGGGAAACUCUAAGAGUUUUUGGUGUUUCUGGAAAAGAAGAGAAGCGACGUAGGAAGGAGAGGAUUCUGACACGACGGCGACCCCAGCGGCAGUCAGUGGCACCAGCGGCACCCAUCUCGCGUUUCUGUGGCGACAACUCAUGACGACGGUGAUGGAGAAAUAGUGGCAGACGACGUUCGAGGGUGGAAGACUCCAACCCUAGGCUAGCGUGAGAGGAAGAGAAGGAAAAGGGGGUGACGUCGUGGCCGGCUGUGAUUCCAGUGACGUUUGCUGUCGCUGGUGACGUGGUGGGCGUGGUAGAGAGUGCAGGUCUGGUUGGAAAAGGGAGAGAGAGACCCUGGUCUCUGGAGGUUGAGAGGAAUGUUAGAAUGAAGUGAGAAAGUUAAACCCCUAAGGGGAAUUCUAGGUUAAACAAAACCUGGGCCUAAGUUUUGGGCCGUUUUUUUUUUUAAAAAUAAAAUAAAACUCUCUCUUGCAGU
rnacentral:lncRNA from 1 species